GCCCAAACCCUAGAUCCCCAUCGCACCCCUCCUCCCUGCUCCCAAUCUCCCCCCCGCCACCACCACCUCCUCCCCGUACCCGCCCCCUCCCGGUCCAGUCCUCUCCCACACACCGCCGACCUCGCCGUCCUCCUCACACACCGCCGCCGACCUCGUCCCUCCCUCCCCUCCCCGCAUCUCCCAGCCACCUCUACGCCCUAGGAGAUCGAGCGAGCGCCCGAGCGCGCCCGUCCUCGCAGCCUCCUCCCACGAUUCCCCGCACCCGAGCCCCACGAGAGGAGCUCCUCCUGUGGUUUUGCACGCCGGCGCCGGCGACCACCAGCCACAGCUUGCCGGAGCCAGCAGAUGAGUGCCACCCUUCUUCUCUGUUCUCUUCUUCCCGUCCUCUCUUUCUUCCUCCUUUUUCUCUCUCACACAUCUCGAUUUCUCUCUCUGUCUCAAACAGUGCACUCCGCCGCCAUGGACCUUGUAGCGCGCCGCCCUGAUGCCAAGUCCCUCCUCGCCGUUCCUGCGCCGCCAAGCCGAAGCCUCGCCCAAGUCCAAGCGCCGCCGCCAUUUGCCUCCUCGCCAUGGCCUCCCCUGCAUCGUCUGCUUCGCGGACAGAGCUCCGUCUCCGUCAACGUGUCCUCCCGCCGUCUCUGUUCGCUGUCGGGCUCGAUCGACUCCAGCAGCACCCCCAUGGUGACGCUCCGCUCGGCACCCGAGGAUAACAUGAAAAGUUCUAUGGAACAAGAGGUACCAAAAGGUGGAGAACAAAAGAGUGAUGUUAGCUGUUGUUGCUGACCUUUUCUCACUAAAGAAUGUCCCUCCAACACAUUUCUCCCUCACUGGUUGUGUUGUUUUGGUUGGUGCCAUCUUAUGAACAUGUGGUGUAAUGAUACUACUGGGUCUAACUUAAUGAAUCCUGGAGAAUUACAUUAUUAUUAUCAUUA